GGGGGUAUAGCUCAGUUGGGAGAGCACCUGCCUUGCAAGCAGGGGGUCACGAGUUCGAAUCUCGUUAUCUCCAC
rnacentral:tRNA from 2 species